GAUGAACGCUGGCGGCGUGCCUAAUACAUGCAAGUCGAGCGAACAGACGAGGAGCUUGCUCCUCUGACGUUAGCGGCGGACGGGUGAGUAACACGUGGAUAACCUACCUAUAAGACUGGGAUAACUUCGGGAAACCGGAGCUAAUACCGGAUAAUAUAUUGAACCGCAUGGUUCAAUAGUGAAAGACGGUUUUGCUGUCACUUAUAGAUGGAUCCGCGCCGCAUUAGCUAGUUGGUAAGGUAACGGCUUACCAAGGCAACGAUGCGUAGCCGACCUGAGAGGGGGAUCGGCCACACAGGAACUGAGAAACGGCCCAGACCCCUACGGGAGGAAGCAGUAGGGAAUCUUCCGCAAUGGGCGAAAGCCUGACGGAGCAACGCCGGGUGGGUGAGGAAGGGCUUCGGAUCGUAAACCUCUGUUAUUAGGGAAAAACAAAGGUGUAAGUAACUAUGCACGUCUUGACGGUACCUAAUCAGAAAGCCACGGCUAACUACGU
rnacentral:rRNA from 1 species